ACCACCUUUCUUUUCAUCCUCCUGUUGCUUGCCAUAAGAAGGCAUCCAGAUAAUGGGAAAUGGAAAUUGUCUAACUUUUUCUUCACCUUGCGUACUUUGGUUUUUCUUCCAAUCUUGAGUCAAAGGCCUUAGGUUGUUUAUAUCAUAUGGAAUCCAGCCACUCCAAGUCUUAGGCUCGCGUUCAGGAGGCUUUGGAAUGUCCUUCAGCUUGGCAUCGUUUGGACUUGUCACCUCUGACUCAAGAAGCUUCUGUAAUCGUUGAUUCUGCAUGUAUUCAGGAGGAACCC
rnacentral:lncRNA from 1 species